UUCGCUUACUUUUUCUUCUCCCAUAUCUCUCCCCCUCUCUCUCUCUCCUUUUAUAUGCUCCCUCUUGUUUCCUCUCCAUCAACCAGUUCGUAUUGGGUUAUCUCUGCUGAGUCUCUCCGCGCUUCAACAUCCACAUAGAAAAGGAAAAAAGAAAAAGAAAAAGAAAACAGUUAACAGGGGAAUAUAGAUGGCUGGAAAUGGAGACAUACGGAGUGGUCCAAUAAAAGUUGAUGGUUCGUACAGAAUAAGGCGUUCACCUGAACGGUCUAUUCGGGAUGGGUGGGUUAGAAUACAAGAUCUGACGGUUGAGAGGUCAUUUUUGAGAUUUAAAAAUAAGAAUGA